GUAUGCGAUAUGCGCCUUGGUUCCGGGCCAGAUGUCCGGAGAAUAGGGAACGCGGUGCAAAUCCGCGACUGCCCCCGCAACUGUGAGCGGCGAGCGUCAUCGGUAUCAUGCCACUGGGCGAGCAGGCCCGGGAAGGCCCGACCGGCGCUGUGACCCGCAAGUCAGGAGACCUGCCAGGGUGAUCACCCUCCC
rnacentral:ncRNA from 2 species